GUUGAACGCUGGCGGCAGGCUUAACACAUGCAAGUCGAGCGGGGUGAUGGUGCUUGCACUAUCACUUAGCGGCGGACGGGUGAGUAAUGCUUAGGAAUCUGCCUAUUAGUGGGGGACAACAUCUCGAAAGGGAUGCUAAUACCGCAUACGUCCUACGGGAGAAAGCAGGGGAUCACUUGUGACCUUGCGCUAAUAGAUGAGCCUAAGUCGGAUUAGCUAGUUGGUGGGGUAAAGGCCUACCAAGGCGACGAUCUGUAGCGGGUCUGAGAGGAUGAUCCGCCACACUGGGACUGAGACACGGCCCAGACUCCUACGGGAGGCAGCAGUGGGGAAUAUUGGACAAUGGGGGGAACCCUGAUCCAGCCAUGCCGCGUGUGUGAAGAAGGCCUUAUGGUUGUAAAGCACUUUAAGCGAGGAGGAGGCUCCUUUGGUUAAUACCCAAGAUGAGUGGACGUUACUCGCAGAAUAAGCACCGGCUAACUCUGUGCCAGCCGCCGCGGUAA
rnacentral:rRNA from 1 species